GGUGUCGACGUGAACGUGAACAAUUCGUCCAGCCUGAUUUAGACUCCGCCCACUGUUUGCUAACCAGAGUGCUGCGUUCAAGGACCCCGCAAAAACCGAGAAUUUACAAUCAAUCACAAACAACAAGAUUCAGUCAAGCUGAUACCUGGAUGACCUUCGCAGCUCCAUCAGUCAUGGCCAGAGGGCAGGUGUAGAGACCAGAUGAAGGGGAGUACAGACAUUUCAGACAGCCUCACCUCCACUCCCCAAAUGAUCUCUCAUAGCCGAUGGCAACCAGGCCUUCUUGUGCCGAUAGGUCCUUCAUCCGUUUCCAGGCUGCAGAGGUCACAAUGUGGUCCACUCUCCGCCCCCAGGGAUCAAAAUGCACCAGCCGCGGAGGGUUGACUUCACACUCUCGGCCCCAUGUGUCCACUUCUUUUGCCACACACUCUCCAAAUGCACUCAAGUCUAAGAAGACUGCCUGUCAAAAGGUUUAAACAAAGUCCCAACUAAAAAAAAUCUGUUGCUAAUAAAAUUUCUUAAUGAUAAAUUAAUAAAGAAAUCUAAUGUCAGGUAAUUUCUAUUUGACAUACCUGCUGGGGGAGGUGUCUCCUGAGGUAUGCUCUUAGCAAGGCAUCCUCCAGAAAUGGAUUCUUCAAAGCUGGCUGCUCCUGGAAGAAUGAUCCAAUCCUGGCUCUGCUGAAAGGCAGGUGACCUGCAGCUGCCUCCCAGAGUUGGUCUUCAUCAGAUUUCCUUGCACCCGGCUCAGCUACACUUACUGCUCUGGUGUGGAUGAGUGGUCUGGAGACACCACACCACAACCUGCAACAUCUCCCAACUCCAUGCCUGGUCAGGACGGCUGACCACACAGACAUGGCUGAAGAUCAAGCUGCUGAACCGAGAUCAAAGUCAAUUAAUGCAGAAACCUUAUCAGGAUUAUUCAGGCUGUAUUGUUGUGGUGUCAUUAAGUAUUAAUCAAACUUAGGAAGCCUUUUAUUAAUAUUCUUACAUCACAAUUAUUACAGUAAACAAGGGCAUCACUUUGUGGCCAAUCUCAUUAAUGGUGUUUUAUGAUGAGGUGAUGUUCUGAAAUUAAGGUAUUUAUUAAAGUAUGCUGGCAGAUAUAUGGUUAUUCAAUAAAACGAUCACUUCUUUUA